rnacentral:lncRNA from 1 species
UUUGUCCGCAUCGGUCAUAACGUAGCCAGGACUACCCCCCACCCCCCACCCCCCCAUCUUUCCUGGUGGUAGUAAAUAAUGGUGAUAGACCCUGAAUUCCAGGUUCUUAUGUUUAUCAACUUUUAUCCUCCCUUCAGCUGACUCCCAUUGAGCGCUAUGCCAUGAAGUUCCUAGAAGCUUCAUUGGAGGAAGUAAGCCGAGAGGAGCUCAAACAGGCAGAAGUAAGUCUUAAGUAGGAAGUAAGGGGAUCAAGAUAGUGGAAAGCUGUUUUCCUACCAUGCCUUGCUCUGCUCUGUCUCUUCCUGACACCACUGGGCUAUGUUGUUGAUAGGAACAAGUGGAAGCUGCCCGAAAAGACCUGGACCAAGCGAAGGAGGAGGUGUUUCGACUACCCCAAGAGGAAGAAGAAGGGCCAGGGGCUGGGGACGAAAUGUCUUGUGCAACUAGUGGAGUCAGCCACCGGCGUAGCAAGAAAGUCAAGGCUCCUGAGAGGCUGGGGACUCGCGUCAGUGAACGUCUUCGUGGAGCUCGGGCCGAAACUCAAGGAGCAAACCACACUCCUGUUACAUCUUCCCAUCAAACCUGCAACACCUUCGUGCCUCCCCGAUGCAGCCCUGUGAGAGAACGAAUUCCCAGGCCUAGAC